rnacentral:rRNA from 1 species
UCCAGACUCCUACGGGAGGCAGCAGUGAGGAAUAUUGGUCAAUGGGCGGAAGCCUGAACCAGCCAAGUCGCGUGAGGGAAUAAGGCCCUACGGGUCGUAAACCUCUUUUGCCGGGGAGCAAGGGCGGGGACGUGUCCCGGCCCGGAGAGUACCCGGAGAAAAAGCAUCGGCUAACUCCGUGCCAGCAGCCGCGGUAAUACGGAGGAUGCGAGCGUUAUCCGGAUUUAUUGGGUUUAAAGGGUGCGUAGGCGGGCUUUUAAGUCAGGGGUAAAAGCCCGGGGCCCACCCCCGGCGAGCCGUUGAAACUGGCUGUCUUGAGAUGUCGAGAGGUAUGCGGAAUGCGCAGUGUAGCGGUGAAAUGCUUAGAUAUCGCGCAGAACCCCGAUUGCGAAGGCAGCGUACCGGCUCCACACUGACGCUGAGGCACGAAAGCGUGGGUAUCGAACAGGAUUAGAUACCCGCGUAAG